rnacentral:tRNA from 1 species
GCGGGCGUGGCGGAACUGGUAGACGCGCUGGAUUUAGGUUCCAGUGGGCAACCGUGGGGGUUCGAGUCCCUCCGCCCGCACCA